GCGCGGGUGGUCUAGCUGGUAGGACAGUGGCCUUCCAAGCCACUAGCCCGGGUUCAAAUCCCGGCUCGCGCA
rnacentral:tRNA from 1 species